AGCGAACGCUGGCGGCAGGCCUAACACAUGCAAGUCGAACGAACUCUUCGGAGUUAGUGGCGGACGGGUGAGUAACACGUGGGAACGUGCCUUUAGGUUCGGAAUAACUCAGGGGAACUUGUGCUAAUACCGAAUGUGCCCUUCGGGGGAAAGAUUUAUCGCCUUUAGAGCGGCCCGCGUCUGAUUAGCUAGUUGGUGAGGUAACGGCUCACCAAGGCGACGAUCAGUAGCUGGUCUGAGAGGAUGACCAGCCACAUUGGGACUGAGACACGGCCCAGACUCCUACGGGAGGCAGCAGUGGGGAAUCUUGCGCAAUGGGCGAAAGCCUGACGCAGCCAUGCCGCGUGAAUGAUGAAGGUCUUAGGAUUGUAAAAUUCUUUCACCGGGGACGAUAAUGACGGUACCCGGAGAAGAAGCCCCGGCUAACUUCGUGCCAGCCGCCGCGGUAACAC
rnacentral:rRNA from 1 species